GGAGCUCUGAACGCCACAUCUUGGCAUUUGGCAGUCUGCUUCAGGGUGUGGCUCACGUGGCCAUUUUGUGCCUGCUCGCCACAUGCACUCUCCUUGGAAAAAGACUGCGUCUGGCAAGCAAACCUUCCAGCAGGCCCUGAAACGGAGCUCCGAAAUAACGCAACUUACUCGGCGCUCCACUUACUUGAGCGCCAGACCCUGAAGCGGAGCAUGGAGCACCAGCGAUGCACAGUGUCCACACACAUCGAUGGAGUUACACAAACUCUGUAACCAACACUAUGUGAGGUUGGCCACAUAAGAAAGAAGUUCAGCCACAUGGAUUUUAGAAUUUGGAUGAGGAACUUAUGAGAACUAUGAGGGUUGAAUGAAAAGUAAUGCCUCCAUCUGCGUAACUCCUCAACAGAUGGCAGUACAGGUAUGUGGCAGGUACUGGCUUGUUCAGUAGACUCUCCUCUACAGUUCCACUUGGCGGGAAGCCUUAGCAUUGAAUGGUUGUAUUGUUGAAGUGCGAAGUAUGGACCCCUGCGCAGACGGUCAGUCAAUGCGACUUAAGAAAUGUGCAUUCAUUGAAUUCUUAACAGCAGAAGGUGUCAUCCCAAAGGAGAUUCAUCAGAGAAUGCAAGCUGUUUAUGGUGAUUGUGUUGAUGUGAGUACUGUGCGUCGUUGGGCGAGUAAGUUUAAAGAUGUUGAGGUGGGAACAUCUGACUUGCGUGACAAGCAAAGACUUGGACAUCCUGUGACAGCAACCACCGAUUUUCACAAGCAAAAGGUUGACAGAUUGAUUCAGGAUGAUCGUUGUAUCACUCAGAGAGAAAUUUCAAGCAUAAUCAGCAUUUCACAAGAAUGUGUAGGUUACAUUAUUGCUUUGCUUGGCUAUCGAAAGAUCUGUGCACAAUGGGUACUGUGAGACACUGGUUGCGGAAACAGACUGUUGACUUCUUCCAUGACAGCUUCAGAAAACUUGUUCAUCAUUAGCAGAAAUGUAUCCAAUUGUCUGGUGAUUAUGUGAACAGUGAACAGUGGUAGUUAAAGAGCAUAUUCUAAGGAUUAUUUCUGCAUUUGAUUUAUUAAAAUAUUCCCAUCCAAACACAAGUAACAAAGGUGGAGGCAUUACUUUUCAUUCAACCCUCGUACAACCUGAUCCUUAUUCCUAAGGGGGGGGGAUAUAUCUAUCAUUCUUCUAUAUAAUGAGAAGAGGAAAGCUUGGAGAAGACAAUAAUGCUGGGGAAAAUGGAAGGAAAAAGGAAGAGGGGCCGACCAAGGGCAAGAUGGAUGGAUGGUAUCCUUGAAGUGACUGGCUUGACCUUGAAGGAGCUGGAGUGGCGAGGGACGACAGGGAGCUCUGGCGUGGGCUGGUCAAUGAGGUCACGAAAAGUCGGAAGCAACUGAAUGAGUAAAUGAUAUCAUUCUUCUGAAUUAACAGAGCAAGUGGGAAUUGCAAGUAAGAAGUGUCACAUGUAGUGUUGACAGGCAAUAAUUCCCACAUAUAGCCUUCAGCAAUGUAUGUACACAGGUGUGGGUUCUUGUUGGGGCAGCAACAAGGCCCCCAAUAUCACACCUGUCCCAGUUGCCAUAAAUGCUUUAGGUGUCCCUACAGAGUUAUAGUAAGGGGCUCCAAAGGGAUUGCCUGCCCAUUCUGCUAUUUAUCCUAGUUCUGUCCAUGAAUAAAAAUGCAAUAGAGAAAAUAAGUUAAUAAUUACACACUACAAAGAAAACAAAUCUACACUCCACUAUUAUCUAUCCCAUUUUUUCUGUUACACAGCAGUCUUUGCUGAUAAAGCAUUACCAAGAGUCCCUCACUAUUAAUAACAUUCACACUUUUCUCCAGCAGACAAGAGUUCUUUCUCCCACCCCAGACCUUCCACAGAUAUAUAAAACCUCCCUUGCUUAGUUUUCCAAUAUACCUCACAAACUCUGAGGAUGCCUGCCAUAGAUGUGGGCAAAACAUCAGGAGUGAAUGCUUCUGGAACAUGGCCAUACAGCCCGGAAAAUGCACAACAACCCACUCCCUCACUAUAUGUCUUACCUUCUGGGAAUGAGUUGGGUUGCACCAACCCCAGGAAAGAGUGCACCAUAUUGAACAAGCCCUGAAGGCCGCCACUUGAAUUGCUGAGUUGUGGUACAUAUUGAGGCUGUGUGAAGUUCGACAGAGACAUCUUUGCAGGGUAACUGAACAGCACAGUCACAGGUCCUGGACAAGUUUAGCAAGACAUCAAAGAUUUUCAGGAGUCUUCUGCCAUAGAGAUUCCUGCUUCUCACUGCUCUAGAUGGGGAACUGGCCUCUUCAGUGGUAUCUCUUCAUCUUCUGCUGAUAUGUAAAGUACUUGAAAGACUUCUCCCCACUGAUCCCAGAGAGAUGUUUAUCCUGCCUGUAGUCAAAUAGAGAUAUUAAUAUGUUAGUAAAACCCAGCAACCAACCAGGAAAAAACCAAGUUGAAAAAUAUCAGUGCAUCUACUUCCUUGUCAGCAAUGGGAUGUGGUGGAAAAUGUGGUUAAUCCAGGUGGUCUGGAGUGUGGAUAUGAGACAUCAUAUACCAGGGUAUGAUAUUCAAAUUAUGAUAAGGAAAAUGCACACAAAUACCAUGUCAACCAUCAGCUAUUGAAAAAUAGUGGUUACAAAGGUUUGCACUAGUGCUCACCAAUAGCUCUACUUCAUCCUGGAGAUAAAUAACUAGUGAGGUGUCGCAGGGCUCUGUCUUGAGCUCAGUGCUAUUCAACAUUUUAAAAAUGAAUAGGAUGAUGAAAUAGAGGAUGAGCGUGUCGAGUUUUCAGACAACACUAAUGAGCUGCUGAACUUGCUGACCGAAAGGUCGGCGGUUUGAAUCCGGGGAGGGGGUGAGCUCCCUCUGUUAGCCCCAGCUUCUGCCAACCUAGAAGUUCAAUAGCAUGCAAAUGUGAGUAGAUCAAUAGGUACCACUCUGGCGGGAAGGUAACAGCACUCCAUGCAGUCAUGCCAGCCACAUGACCUUGAAGGUGUCUACAAACAACGCCGGCUCUUCGGCUUAGAAAUGGAGAUGAGCACCAACCCCUAGAGUCAGACACAACUAAAUUUAAUGUCAGGGGAAAACCUUUACCUUUAGGAGAACAGGAAAUAUAACAAUGGACAGAAUAAAAAUUCCACAUGACCUUAACAGAUGAGAGAGCUGACCCAAAAGUAGCAAAAUGAAUUUCAA